rnacentral:tRNA from 1 species
CCAGGUAGCUCAGUUGGCAGAGCGUCCGCCUGAAAAGUGGAAGGUCGGCGGUUCGAUUCCGCCCCUGGC